rnacentral:rRNA from 1 species
UACAUAGGUCUCAAGCGUUGUUCGGAUUCAUUGGGCGUAAAGGGUGCGUAGGUGGCGUGGUAAGUCGGGUGUGAAAUUUCGGAGCUUAACUCCGAAACUGCAUUCGAUACUGCCGCGCUUGAGGACUGGAGAGGAGACUGGAAUUUACGGUGUAGCAGUGAAAUGCGUAGAGAUCGUAAGGAAGACCAGUGGCGAAGGCGGGUCUCUGGACAGUUCCUGACACUGAGGCACGAAAGCCAGGGGAGCAAACGGG